UUAGCAUAAUAAUCUCCUGGUCCAUCCAUGCUGUCGCAAAGGGUAAUAUAGAUCCUUCUGUUUUACUGCUGCAUAGUAUUCCACCAGCCCACGUUGCUUUUCAUAAGCCAGCAACUGCCAGGCCAGGCUCCCAUUACCCGCGGUCUCCUGUGUUUGUUUACAGGGACCUCAAGGAAGAAAUGGGCCUGCUUAGUCAGGUGCCACAGAAGAUUUCUUUUUGGCUUGAACUUGAUGAAGUUUGGAUGAACUUGGUGAAAUAAACACAAGUUAAAGCAUAUGGUCAUGGAUGCAUCACCACUGUCCCCUUCCUCAUAAUAAGCUGUUCCUAAGCCCGCCUUCCCUUAAGAGAAAAGCUUGUGAGCAUGGCUGGAGGCGUAGACUUGACCUCCACCUCACCAGGUGCAGCUGCUGACCUGCACACAAAAUAGGAAAUAUUUUUUUAAAGCAGGGGGGAGAGUUUCUGUUCCACAAUCACUGCUGUUUCAAUAAAAAGCAACCUGGUUCAUCUGUGAGACCUACUUCCCUCUCUGGUGAACAUGACCAUUUCAAUAGUCGA